GAUGAACGCUAGCGGCAGGCUUAACACAUGCAAGUCGAGGGGUAGAAGGAGCUUGCUCCUUUGAGACCGGCGCACGGGUGCGUAACGCGUAUGCAAUCUACCUUUUGCAGAGGGAUAGCCCAGAGAAAUUUGGAUUAAUACCUCAUAGUAUGUGAGGAUGGCAUCAUUUUCACAUUAAAGUCACAACGGCAAAGAUGAGCAUGCGUCCCAUUAGCUAGUUGGUAAGGUAACGGCUUACCAAGGCUACGAUGGGUAGGGGUCCUGAGAGGGAGAUCCCCCACACUGGGUACUGAGACACGGACCCAGUACUCCUACGGGAGGCAGCAGUGAGGAAUAUUGGACAAUGGGCGCGAAGCCUUGAUCCAGCCAUGCCGCCGUGCAGGAUGACGGGUCCUAUGG
rnacentral:rRNA from 1 species